rnacentral:rRNA from 1 species
UCCUACGGGAGGCAGCAGUGGGGAAUAUUGCACAAUGGGCGCAAGCCUGAUGCAGCGACGCCGCGUGGAGGAUGACGGCCUUCGGGUUGUAAACUCCUUUCGCUAGGGACGAAGCCAUGUUUGUGGUGACGGUACCUGGAUAAGAAGCACCGGCUAACUACGUGCCAGCAGCCGCGGUAAUA